UUCUUUUCUUUUCUUUUCUUUUCUUUUCUUUUCUUUUCUUUUCUUCUCUUCUCUUCUCUUCUCUUCUCUUCUCUUCUCUUUUCUUUUCAAUCCAAUUCAUCAUUUGGUUCAGAUUUUCUUUUUCAUUUUGCCCUAAUAGUGUUCUCAUUUUCAGUGGGUUUUUUAAAGACAAAUUAUUUGUGUUCUUGAUAUCACAUUCACUGGAUUUCUGAGGACUUGAGGAUGGAGUUUGGGGUUUCACUGGUGUUUCUUUGGUAUGUGUAUUGUUAUCAGGUCAAAAUCGUAACCAGAAAUUGAAAGAAGGUCCUUUCCUGUCAGAUCUUUGUCCCGGGUUCCAGGAAAUGUCAUUUGCUAUGAGCCCUUGUGGCCUUGAGGUUCCCAUGGCUUUGGUUUAUGGCAGCCACUAGGCACCUAAAAAUUGGGUACAGACUGGUGUCUCAAUGCUAUGACUGUAAAAAUGUGCCUGAGCAUCCACCUCUGCCCUCCACUUCAGCAUGGACACAGUAAAGAGGGCCCAAUCCUCAGGCCUUUCUGGGAGACCUCAGCUCCAAAGCACAGAGAAGGGAAGACAAAAGCACAGAGAAGUGGGCAGAGGCAGUUCUGAGUGGUGGCCUCCACAUACUGUGCACUGUGGGGUUACAAGUUCAUUUCAGUGAAUUAGCUCUUCUUCACUUCAUUUCUUUGUUGAUAGUUGGUUUCCAUCUGCCAUAGUUGCACUGAUUUCAGCACAGAAACAUUAACGUUUCCUUCACUGUGCGUGAGAGCAUCCUACCAACAGCCUGGUGAGGUUAUAGGAGCUGUUUGGAUCAGACCCCGGGUGCUGGCAGCCCUAAUAAGCCAACAGACCAGUUAGAGAGACAGAGUAAGAGUAAACAUCAUGAAAAUGAGAUUUAUUUGAUGUAGCUAUAUUGGCAAAAGGAACAAAGAGGUCCAUCAAACCCCCCAAAGUCCAUUUUGGGAUGCAAACGUUAGGUUUAGGAUUAGAUGCAAGAGGUCUGCCUAGUUACGCAGUACUGUUAUCACAGAGGGGUCUUGAUGGGGGUCUUUCUUUCUGCCAGCCAAAGAAUUAAAAGGCAGGAAAAUCUUGUGUACAGGAGGCAGAAGCAUAGGGAAUAUUGACCCUGCAGCCAGCAGUGGACAGAGUCAGUCAGUGAAAAGGGAUUUAUUUAACUCAAACAUAGAGAAAGGCACACAGAGAGAAGCUUGGGACCCUGGAGACUGAAGCCUAGCCUCUCCUUGAGGGCUAGGGGAUUUAAGAGUCACCGAGGGGUCUUCCUCCCCUAAUUUAGGAUUUGUCAUUUUGAACAAAGAAGACCUACCCAGGCUUUCAGUUUGGGGGUAAAUAGGUCCUAAUAAUGUAUAGGGCCAGUUCAUCAGCAAGCAGUUCCUAGUAGCAGGAAAAAAAGGCCUGCCAGACCUUUGUUUAAGCUUCCAGGCUUUGGUCUCAGGUCAGGAAGGUGAGAAAGGAGGGUUAGGAAGGAGCCAGAAGUUUCUCAUUCUGGAAGCUCACCAUCUUUACUACCUAGGUGUGGCACCUCUCGAUAGCUGCCAACCUAUCAAGUAUUUGUCUAACUUUGGUCCCUAAGUCCUGCUCAAAGCACACUAUCACUAUCUCUGUCUAGGUCCAGACUCUCCAGCAAGGUGGACUGGCAAGUCAUUGGCAUUGUCCUCCUGGGAGACAAGCUCUUUUUCUCUGCCAGGCACCAGGGCCCCCAAGGCUUUUCCUUCUCCCGGUAUCUGAGAAAUUCUAAUUCUACUGGCUACAUUGUCUCAGUAGUCUGUUAUCCAAAGGAAGGGGCACAUUUGUCUCUUUAGCAUAUCACAUUCCUGCUAGCAAAGUAACAAAGAGCGAUUCAGGCUUCUGGCCCAUGCCAUCCUGGGGUAUGGAUGAUUUGCUCUCAGAAACUGGUACUUCGGCUCAUUCUUCCCACCAUCUCACAUGUAGGCACAGUAGAGAUCAGCCAUUGUUUUUUCCAAUCAGCUUUGUCCAUACACAAGAGAAGAAAGAGUCUAUAGCUGGAAUGGCAAAGUUUAUGCUGUCAUCUCAAACGCUAGUGAGCAGAAACAGCAAUUGAAUCAUUAAGCUGUAAAGUAUUCAGAAAGGUGGCAAACUGGGAAAGCAGAAUUAUCAUCCC
rnacentral:lncRNA from 1 species